GUCAUAAUUACGUGAUUUCGCUACAUGAGGUCAGAAAAAGACUUAGAUGGGUAGUGCUCUUCACCAUGGCGGAUCCUCUGACUAUGAGCCUGGCACGGGAGUAUCAUGUUAACAAGGAAGAAAUUAUCACCGAUGAAGACAAUGUAAUCUUUGGGGAGUGUUCGUGGCCCAAAACUGUGAUGACGAACUAUCUAGUGUACGGCGCACGAUGAACGUCUCGUCAAUUUCAACAAUAACUCCUGGACCACCAAUAGCUUCCUGAUUGUUCAGCCAGAAGUCUGACCUCACUUCAAAAAGUGCGUGAGGAUAACACUGGAAAACUGUUGUGGUCCCACCGUGAACUAAGCCAGUGGUUAGCAGACAGAAUAACCUUCCAAGGUGAUUGUGUUAAGAAUAUGGAGAAAGAUGGACCAAGGCAGGAAGA